UAUCCUAUAUAUUAAAAAACCAACGUUAUGAACAGUAUAAACAGUACUUUCCACCCUUAAAACUUUGCCACGUUACCAGAUCACCAUCAUCGUCCCUUUUUCCCCAAAAUCAAAACCCUAAAUCCCUUCACCUGAUCACCACCAACUUGCUUCUUCACGUCUACUUCAGAAUCUAGAGAGAGACGGGAGCAACUCCCUCCGCCACCACGGCGGACACUUCGUCAUCCGGUCACCCUGAGGAUGCGGUGUGUAGGUCGACAGAGAGAGAGCUGGGAGAAGCGGUGCCGUCCCUGGUGGCGGAGCCACGGCGGCAGCCACAUGCAUAUCGGCAUCUGGUUCUCUCUUCCGCGCUCUCUCCCAUCGUUGCCGCCUCCUUCCAAAGGUCUUCUCUUCCGGUCUCUCUCUCUCAUCACCUACUCUGUUUGGCAGAGGCUGUUACCGACCACUCGCCUUCCCCGGUCAUUGACGUUGUAGGGUGAUGAUGGUCACAGAACGGUAGAAGGGUGUCUUGAUUAUAUCAUGUUGUGGGCAAGGGUAUUUUCAUCAUUUGCGACUCCUUAGAAGGCCACAUGACAUGUGCUCUGGUUGCCACCCACCGCUCCUGGUUGGUGGACAGUGGCGAUGGUUUUGAGUGUGUAUAUCAUUCAAGUUUUUUUACCUCUUUGUCGUUAAUUUUCUUACGGGUUUUGGUUUCUUGGCUGUGAUCUUUUUGUGAGCCUAACGUAUCGAUGUUAUACUAUCUAUUUAGGGCUUUUGGUUUCUUGGCUGUGAUCUAUAUGUGAGCCUACUGAACCGAUGUUUUAUAGCAGUUUUGUGAUCUAACUACAGUAUUUUGCUACAGUUUUGUUGGUUGGCUGUGGUAAUGGGUUCUAUCACUAGGCUAUGAUGACCUCAAAAGUUUUUCCAAGUUGAUGAUGGCAUGGCAAGGAUGGCGGAUGGUAGGGUUUGACCUGCAACCCACCUUGCAGCCACAAUUUCUGUAGAGUGAUGGGAUCAUGAACACAAUUUAUGUGGAAGCAGUCCAGAUCUAAGGUGUCGGUUCCCACAGCACAAGCAAUAUGAUAAUUGGAACUUUCCAGAUACUACCAGACCCAGUCGCUCGCAAAAUCGGUGAACCAGUGAAUUUUUGCUUGACGUUGAAGGCUGAUAUAAAAAAUAUCUUAUAGUUUUUUAACAGUUAGAAGCUAUUUUGUAAGGAUUAGUUUGAUAAAUUUUUUAAUGUACUUUGGAUCAAAUGAAGUAUAACCGGCGCCUUUGGAUAUCCUAAGACAGCUAAAUUGUUCCCCGAGACCUUUUGGCCAACGAUGUUUACGGUUUCGGGUUUCCGUUCACUCGAGCCUCGGGUCAGCGAUUUCGGUUCAGUCCUCAUCAAGACGACGUGGUGUGUUGGCUCGGUUCAUUUUUGGACCCUAUCUUGGUUCGGUUCAGGUGAGCUCAGCUUUGGUUCGGUUCGACAAGUCAACAUCAGUCAGCAUUGAUUCGGGUCAGCUUAGGUCUCAGCUCAAGUGCGGGUCUCGGUGCUGCUCGGUUCAACCCGGUUCGAAUCGGUAUAACGCAAUUGUCCAAAAACAGAGGAAACUUUUUCCGUUAACAGGCGAAACUUGCAGCCAAGCGAAUGUUGCUAAACAUGGCUCCAUGUAAGUUCUCUUGAUCUUAAUUUAUGGGUUUGUUACAAAAAUUUAUCAGUUUGCGUAUGCCACUGAUGGAGUUAUCUAUAUGGGUUUGUUACAAAAACUUAUAACAAACACUUUUUUCAAAACUUGUCCUAACUCUAACCUCUACUUUGAGGACAUAAAAAUACACAGAAACCAUCACAUCUCUUGAUGAGGGCUUUAUAAAAAUAAGUGGAAUGUUGUAUAUAGUUUGUUUUAUGUUCAUCAAUGUCUUUUUUUUGUAA